GUCUACGGCCAUACCACCCUGAACGCGCCCGAUCUCGUCUGAUCUCGGAAGCUAAGCAGGGUCGGGCCUGGUUAGUACUUGGAUGGGAGACCUUUACAAAAAGGAACACUUUGGCUGAAAAUG
ensembl:rRNA 5S_rRNA 5S ribosomal RNA